GACGAACGCUGGCGGCGUGCUUAACACAUGCAAGUCGAGCGGAAAGGCCCUUUCGGGGGUACUCGAGCGGCGAACGGGUGAGUAACACGUGAGUAAUCUGCCCUUGGCUUUGGGAUAACUACCGGAAACGGUGGCUAAUACCGGAUACGACGUACUCAGGCAUCUGAUGUGCGUGGAAAGUUUUUUCGGCCAGGGAUGUGCUCGCGGCCUAUCAGCUUGUUGGUGGGGUAAUGGCCUACCAAGGCUUCGACGGGUAGCCGGCCUGAGAGGGUGACCGGCCACACUGGGACUGAGACACGGGCCCAGACUCCUACGGGAGGCAGCAGUGGGGAAUAUUGGACAAUGGGCGAAGCCUGAUCCAGCAACGCCGCGUGAGGGAUGACGGCC
rnacentral:rRNA from 1 species